rnacentral:lncRNA from 1 species
CUCUCCUUAGCCGCUUGUGCCGCCAUCAGAGGGGCCUGUCUCGCUCCCCCAGACACAGAGCCUCUGUUUUCCUCACUCCGGGUCUGGAGUCCCCUGCUUAACAGCUUGGAUUGAAGAGGCUUGUCUGGGGGGACUGAGACCUUGCAGAUCAUUCCAGGAGCCGCCUCCAUCCAAGGCCAACAGCUUCAUCAGGCCGCAGGCCUGGGAGAAGCCCUAAUAGCAAUCAGAUGGCGCAAGUGGAAAAUCACGGCGCUCGGCAAGCAAGCUGGAAAUUGGCGGGCUGUGGUGCCUGGUGCCUGCGCUGCUCAGCGGGAGGAUGAGUCAGGAGUGUAGUGCCCAGACUGGGAGAGAUGUGCCUCUGUGGGCAUCUUGAAGGGAAAUGAGAAGCGGAGCUGCCCCUGCACCUGCGCUGGGAGCUGCCUGCCUCCUGCUUGUCCUGGCCAUGUGCGAACCUCAGCGUGGAAGAGGGACUCUCGCACUGCUCCCUGCGCGGCUCAGCUGGCCUCCUGGGAAGCCACAAGAAACUAAUCCAUGGGGAUGGCCAGGCCUGAUUAGCUGGGGUGGGGCUGGAGGCUCCUCUACAGAGAUGAUGCUUACACUGAGACCUGAAGGAGAAGGAGGAGGUGGCUGCUCACGCAACCCACAGGAAAGUGUUCCAGGAUCAAGAACAGCAGGUGCAAAGGCCCCGUGAUGGAAAGGAUUGGUGCACUAGGAGAACAAAGGCAGCCUGGACACCAGGUUUGGUCUACCUCGUCCACACCCGCCUGCUUCUGUCCCGCCUUAAGCGGAUCCGUGAUGUCCCGUCAUUAGACCUUCAAUUUCAGCACAGGACUGAAUAACUAACCUUCAAAAAGUUUGCAGUAGCCUUGUCACUCCUAAAAAUAACAAAUAAUUCCUUAAACAUCAUUCAACAUCCAAUCAGUGUUUGCACACUUUUUUUACAGCUCUGCAUGUGUGUCACAAGCUAAACAAGGCCCGUGAGUGGAUGUGCUUCUUUUUGGGGUUGGGGAGAGACGGUGUCUCACUCUGUUGCCCAGGCUGGAUUGCAGUGGCAAGAUCUUGGCUCAUUGUGUCUCCCGGGUUCAAGCGAUUCUUCUGCCUCAGACUCUUGAGUAGCUGGGACUACAGGCAGUGCCACCACGCC